rnacentral:rRNA from 1 species
GAUAGAUGCGGGUGCUAUACAUGCGUCGAGCGGACAGAAGGGAGCUUGCUCCCGGAUGUUAGCGGCGGACGGGUGAGUAACACGUGGGUAACCUGCCUGUAAGACUGGGAUAACUCCGGGAAACCGGAGCUAAUACCGGAUAGUUCCUUGAACCGCAUGGUUCAAGGAUGAAAGACGGUUUCGGCUGUCACUUACAGAUGGACCCGCGGCGCAUUAGCUAGUUGGUGAGGUAACGGCUCACCAAGGCGACGAGCGUAGCCGACCUGAGAGGGUGAUCGGCCACACUGGGACUGAGACACGGCCCAGACUCCUACGGGAGGCAGCAGUAGGGAAUCUUCCGCAAUGGACGAAAGUCUGACGGAGCAACGCCGCGUGAGUGAUGAAGGUUUUCGGAUCGUAAAGCUCUGUUGUUAGGGAAGAACAAGUGCAAGAGUAACUGCUUGCACCUUGACGGUACCUAACCAGAAAGCCACGGCUAACUACGUGCCAGCAGCCGCGGUAAUACGUAGGUGGCAAGCGUUGUCCGGAAUUAUUGGGCGUAAAGGGCUCGCAGGCGGUUUCUUAAGUCUGAUGUGAAAGCCCCCGGCUCAACCGGGGAGGGUCAUUGGAAACUGGGAAACUUGAGUGCAGAAGAGGAGAGUGGAAUUCCACGUGUAGCGGUGAAAUGCGUAGAGAUGUGGAGGAACACCAGUGGCGAAGGCGACUCUCUGGUCUGUAACUGACGCUGAGGAGCGAAAGCGUGGGGAGCGAACAGGAUUAGAUACCCUGGUAGUCCACGCCGUAAACGAUGAGUGCUAAGUGUUAGGGGGUUUCCGCCCCUUAGUGCUGCAGCUAACGCAUUAAGCACUCCGCCUGGGGAGUACGGUCGCAAGACUGAAACUCAAAGGAAUUGACGGGGGCCCGCACAAGCGGUGGAGCAUGUGGUUUAAUUCGAA